rnacentral:tRNA from 1 species
UCCCUGAAGGACGAGUGGUUAGGCCUUGGCGCUCUCACCGCCGCGGCCUGGAUUCAAUUCCCAGCCAGGGAA